UACGUAGGGUGCGAGCGUUAAUCGGAAUUACUGGGCGUAAAGAGCUUGUAGGCGGUUUGUCGCGUCUGCUGUGAAAUUUCGGGGCUCAACCCCGAACUUGCAGUGGGUACGGGCAGACUAGAGUGUGGUAGGGGAGACUGGAAUUCCUGGUGUAGCGGUGAAAUGCGCAGAUAUCAGGAGGAACACCGAUGGCGAAGGCAGGUCUCUGGGCCACUACUGACGCUGAGAAGCGAAAGCAUGGGGAGCGAACAGG
rnacentral:rRNA from 1 species